rnacentral:pre_miRNA from 7 species
GUCUAGGGUCUCUGGGUGGUCGCGCUGAAUCCCGGACCGAGCCCCCAAAUGAAAAGACCCCCAAAGGGAGACCCUCACUCAAGCCUAGGGACAACCGCGGACCCAAGAAGACACUGAGACCG